rnacentral:rRNA from 1 species
UUAUGCUAAUAAGAGCGUAUGGUGGAUGCCUUGGCACUAAGAGCCGAUGAAAGACGUGAUAAGCUGCGAAAAGCUUCGGGGAGGAGCAAAUAUCCUAUGAUCCGGAGAUCUCUGAAUGGGGAAACCCACCUGAGCAAACCUCAGGUAUCCUAACGCCAAUACAUAACGUUAGGAGGGGAACCCGGUGAACUGAAACAUCUAAGUAGCCGGAGGAAGAGAAAACAACAUGUGAUUCUGGAAGUAGCGGCGAGCGAAACCGGAAGAGCCCAAACCGGAGUGCGUGCACUCCGGGGUUCGGACCGCGGAAUUGAUCCAAAAGACUUAACAGAACGGCCUGGGAAGGCCGGCCAGAGAGGGUGAAAGCCCCGUAAGUGAAAGGUCGAUUGGCAUGGCGGUAUCCAGAGUAGGUCGAGACACGUGGAACCUUGACUGAAUACGCGGGGACCACCCCGUAAGGCUAAAUACUCCUUAGUGACCGAUAGCGCAUAGUACUGUGAAGGAAAGGUGAAAAGGACCCCGGGAGGGGAGUGAAAAAGAACCUGAAACCAUAUGUUUACAAGCUGUGGAACCACUUUAAAUGUGGAACCGCGUACUUUUUGUAGAACGGUCCGGCGAGUUACGCUGGCUGGCGAGGUUAAGUCCUUAAGGGAUGGAGCCGAAGGGAAACCAAGUCUGAAUAGGGCGAAGAGUCAGUCGGAGUAGACCCGAAACCGGGUGACCUAUCCAUGUCCAGGAUGAAGUUGCCGUAAAAGGCAAUGGAGGUCCGAACCCACAUCCGUUGAAAAGGGUGGGGAUGAGGUGUGGAUAGGGGAGAAAUUCCAAUCGAACCCGGAGAUAGCUGGUUCUCCUCGAAAUAGCUUUAGGGCUAGCCUCAUACAAGUCUUGCGGAGGUAGAGCACUGAAUUUCCUAGGGGGCGUCAAAGCUUACCGAAGAAUAUCAAACUCCGAAUGCCGCGUAGAUGGUGUAUGGGAGUCAGACUGCACGAGAUAAGUUGGGUAGUCAAAAGGGAAAGAGCCCAGACCUGCAGCUAAGGUCCCAAAAUGUGUGUUAAGUGGAAAAGGAUGUGGGAUUUCGAAGACAACUAGGAUGUUGGCUCAGAAGCAGCCAUACAUUCAAAGAGUGCGUAAUAGCUCACUAGUCGAGAGGUCCUGCGCCGAAAAUGUCCGGGGCUGAAACACACUACCGAAGCUCAGGAAUGUACUUGUACAUUGGUAGAGGAGCAUUGUAUACGGGAAGAAGCAGUACCGAUAAGGAGCUGUGGACUGUAUAGAAGAGAGAAUGCCGGAAUGAGUAGCGAGAGGAAGGUGAGAAUCCUUCCGGCCGAAUAUCUAAGGUUUCCAGAGUAAAGCUGAUCUGCUCUGGGUAAGUCGGGGCCUAAGGCCAGGUCGAAAGACGUAACCGAUGGACAACAGGUUGAAAUUCCUGUACCGCGAUAUAACAGAACUGUGGGGACACGUGUGGAGAGCACAAGCCGGGAAUGGAAAGCCCGGCGCAAGCAAGGUAGGAGUCGUACUGGCAAAUCCGUACGGCAAUCCGAAGAUGUGAUGCGUACCGAAUUAAGAGUAGGGAAGAGUGUGAGCCAUGCGUCAAGAAAAGCCGCUAUUGUUUGUAUCGCGCCCGUACCGUAAACCGACACAGGUGGAUGAGGAGAGAAUCCUAAGGCCGACGGGAGAAGCAUUGUUAAGGAACUCGGCAAAAUGACUCCGUAACUUCGGGAGAAGGAGUGCCACUGAGAGGUGGCCGCAGAGAAUUGGCCCAAGCAACUGUUUAGCAAAAACACAGGUCUAUGCAAAACCGAAAGGUGAAGUAUAUGGGCUGACGCCUGCCCGGUGCUGGAAGGUUAAGGGGAGAGGUUAGCGCAAGCGAAGCUUUGAACUUAAGCCCCAGUAAACGGCGGCCGUAACUAUAACGGUCCUAAGGUAGCGAAAUUCCUUGUCGGGUAAGUUCCGACCCGCACGAAAGGCGUAAUGAUUUGGGCACUGUCUCAACAAUGCACCCGGUGAAAUUGAAAUACCAGUGAAGAUGCUGGUUACCUGCGCCAGGACGGAAAGACCCCAUGGAGCUUUACUCCAGCUUGAUACUGGGAUUCGGUAUUGCAUGUACAG